rnacentral:rRNA from 1 species
GACGAACGCUGGCGGCGUGCUUAACACAUGCAAGUCGAACGGAAAGGCCCUGCUUUUGUGGGGUGCUCGAGUGGCGAACGGGUGAGUAACACGUGAGUAACCUGCCCUUGACUUUGGGAUAACUUCAGGAAACUGGGGCUAAUACCGGAUAGGAGCUCCUGCUGCAUGGUGGGGGUUGGAAAGUUUCGGCGGUUGGGGAUGGACUCGCGGCUUAUCAGCUUGUUGGUGGGGUAGUGGCUUACCAAGGCUUUGACGGGUAGCCGGCCUGAGAGGGUGACCGGCCACAUUGGGACUGAGGUACGGCCCAGACUCCUAAGGGAGGCAGCAGUGGGGAAUAUUGCACAAUGGGCGGAAGGCUGAUGCAGGAACGCCGCGUGCGGGAUGAAGGCCUUUGGGGUGGAAACCGCUUUCGCCUGUGAAGAAGCGGGAGUGACGGUAAUGGGUAAAGAAGCACCGGCUAACUACGUG